rnacentral:rRNA from 1 species
GACGAACGCUGGCGGCGUGCUUAACACAUGCAAGUCGAACGGAAAGGCCCUGCUUUUGUGGGGUGCUCGAGUGGCGAACGGGUGCGUAACACGUGAGUAACCUGCCCUUGACUUUGGGAUAACUUCAGGAAACUAGGGCUAAUACCGGAUCGGAGCUCCUGCUGCAUGGUGGGGGUUGGAAAGUUGCGGCGGUAGGGGAUGGACUCGCGGCUUACCGGCUUGUUGGUGGGGUAGGGGCUUACCAAGGCUUUGACGGGUAGCCGGCCUGGGAGGGUGACCGGGGUCAAUGGUACUGAGGGACGCCCCAGUCUCCUACGUGGGUCAGCGGUCGGGAGUAUGACGCAGUGAGCGGGCGUGUGUGACGGAAACGUUGCGUGCGGGAUGACGGCCUUCUGGGUAUAAACCGCUGUCGCCUGAGACGAAGCUGGAGUGACGGUAAUUAAUAAAGAAGCACCGGCUAACUACGUG